rnacentral:rRNA from 1 species
UACGUAGGGGCGAGCGUUGUCCGGAAUGACUGGGCGUAAAGGGCGUGUAGGCGGCCGAUUAAGUCCGGAGUGAAAGUCCUGCUUUCAAGGUGGGAAGGGCUGUUGAAACUGCGUUGCUUGAGUGCAGGAGAGGUUAUCGGAAUUCCCGGUGUAGCGGUGAAAUGCGUAGAGAUCGGGAGGAACACCAGUGGCGAAGGCGGGUAACUGGACUGCAACUGACGCUGAGGCGCGAAAGUGUGGGGAGCAAACAGGAUUAGAUACCCCGGUAGUCCCUGAG